GCGGAUGGAGCUGAAGCCAGUCGAAGAUACCAGCUGGCUGCAACUGUUUAAUAAAAACACAGCACUGUGCAAACACGAAAGUGGACGUAUACGGUGUGACGCCUGCCCGGUGCUGGAAGGUUAAUUGAUGGGGUCAGCCGCAAGGCGAAGCUCUUGAUCGAAGCCCCAGUAAACGGCGGCCGUAACUAUAACGGUCCUAAGGUAGCGAAAUUCCUUGUCGGGUAAGUUCCGACCUGCACGAAUGGCGUAAUGAUGGCCAGGCUGUCUCCACCCGAGACUCAGUGAAAUUGAACUCGCUGUGAAGAUGCAGUGUACCCGCGGCAAGACGGAAAGACCCCGUGAACCUUUACUAUAGCUUGACACUGAACAUUGAGCCUUGAUGUGUAGGAUAGGUGGGAGGCUUUGAAGCGUGGACGCCAGUCUGCGUGGAGCCAUCCUUGAAAUACCACCCUUUAAUGUUUGAUGUUCUAACUCGGCCCCGURAUCCGGGGUGAGGACAGUGUCUGGUGGGUAGUUUGACUGGGGCGGUCUCCUCCCAAAGAGUAACGGAGGAGCACGAAGGUUAGCUAAUCACGGUCGGACAUCGUGAGGUUAGUGCAAAGGCAUAAGCUAGCUUGACUGCGAGAGUGACGGCUCGAGCAGGUACGAAAGUAGGUCUUAGUGAUCCGGUGGUUCUGAAUGGAAGGGCCAUCGCUCAACGGAUAAAAGGUACUCCGGGGAUAACAGGCUGAUACCGCCCAAGAGUUCAUAUCGACGGCGGUGUUUGGCACCUCGAUGUCGGCUCAUCACAUCCUGGGGCUGAAGUAGGUCCCAAGGGUAUGGCUGUUCGCCAUUUAAAGUGGUACACGCACCACUGGUGUUCGGGUUGUCAUGCCAAUGGCAUUGCCCGGUAGCUAAGUGCGGAAAAGAUAAGCGCUGAAAGCAUCUAAGCGCGAAACUUGCCUCAAGAUGAGUCUUCCCUGGGCCUUUAAGGCCCCUGAAGGAACGUUUAAGACUAAGACGUUGAUAGGCUGGGUGUGUAAGUGCAGCGAUGCAUUGAGCUAACCAGUACUAAUGAUCCGUGAGGCUUAACCUUACAACACCGAAGGUGUUU
rnacentral:rRNA from 1 species